UACGAAGGGGGCUAGCGUUGUUCGGAAUUACUGGGCGUAAAGCGCGUGUAGGCGGGUCCUUAAGUCAGGGGGGAAAUGCCAAGGCUCAACCUUGGAACUGCCUUUGAUACUGGAGACCUUGAGUCCGGGAGAGGUGAGUGGAAUUGCGAGUGUAGAGGUGAAAUGCGUAGAUAUCAGGAGGAACACCGGUGGUGUAGACGGCUUUCUGGACCGUAACUGACGCUGAGACACGAAAGCGUGGGUAGCAAACAGG
rnacentral:rRNA from 1 species